GUAGGGAAUAUUGCACAAUGGAGGAAACUCUGAUGCAGCGACGCCGCGUGAGUGAUGAAGGCCUUCGGGUCGUAAAGCUCUGUCGCAGGGGAAUAACACAAUGAAGGUACCCUGUAAGAAAGGAUCGGCUAACUUCGUGCCAGCAGCCGCGGUAAGACGAGGGAUCCUAGCGUUGUUCGGAAUCAUUGGGCGUAAAGCGGAUGUAGGUGGCUAUGUAAGUCAGAUGUGAAAGCCUGGGGCUCAACCCCAGAAGUGCAUUUGAUACUGCGUAGCUUGAGUGUCGGAGAGGUUACUAGAAUUGGUGGUGUAGUGGUGAAAUACGUAGAUAUCAACAGGAAUACCGGAGGCGAAGGCGGGUAACUGGCCGAACACUGACACUGAGAUCCGAAAGCGUGGGGAUCAAACAGGAUUAGAAACCCCAGUAGUCC
rnacentral:rRNA from 1 species